CUGUGAUAACUUUGUCUACCUUGUUGUCUGUUUUCCAGCGUCCCUUCGGUAUUUCCAAAGCCCAUCCCGCUUUUAGAGUUAAGCCAAAACGCAGCGCUCUCUACCGAACAACUACGGGCACUGCAGGCAGCUCGAACUUUGUUGGAGAGGCGUCUGAAAUCUUAUGAGACCACAAUAGAGGAAGACGAAGUGCUGCUGAGUGAAGUACAGAGCCCGUGUAUGGCGAUGGCGGUCGGCAGUAGAGUGGAGGAGAAACGGAUGCUGCUUCAUGCUUUACACUUGCUGACUCAAAACAAUACAGUUCAUUAAGGGUUAAUGACCCGCCCCGAGGUGUCAUAACGUCUUAU